ACCAGUAUUGGACUCACGCCCAGCACGACCCCAGGCUCGGGUUUCUACUCCGCAGGGAUCACUAACAUAAGACCGCGCGGGUAUCUUUUAAUGCGUUGAAGGGACCGCGCGCUAUCGUUAAUGGGGCAGGUUGGGGGCUAUCAGUUUUCUUCUGCUAGGAGCCGAACUUCUUGUAUUCAGUGGAAGACCUAGCUACCUCGGAAAGCAUUUACCCAGGCAUAUUUCCAUUAUUCAGGGAUCGACAGUUCAUGGGACUCGAAGGCGGUCCGGAUGUUCUCGUUUUUCUAAUCCAUAAACUAUCCCGGCUUAGGAAUCCGGCGGGUGGUAUUUCAUGACCCGUUUCGGCCCCUUACGGCAAAUUCUAAGUGCUUGGCCUCCCAGGGGAUGUAAUCGUCGCAACGCUGGACACUUAAAGAAUUUGACGGGAGGGCCCCCCCCGGGGGGGGAGCCUGCGGGCUUAAUUUGACUCAACAGGGGGAAACUCACCAGGUCCAGACACAAUAAGGAUUGACAGAUUGAGAGCUCUUUCCUGAUUUUGUGGGUGGUGGUGCAUGGCCGUUCUUAGUUGGUGGGGUGACUUGUCUGCUUAAUUGCGAUAACGAACGAGACCUUAACCUGCUAAAUAGCCCGCAUUGCUCCGGCAGUGCGCUGGCUUCUUAGAGGGACUUUCGGCUCAAGCCGAAGGAAGUUUGAGGCAAUAACAGGUCUGUGAUGCCCUUAGAUGUUCUGGGCCGCACGCGCGCUACACUGACGGGGUCAGCGAGUUCCUUGGCCGAAAGGCCCGGGUAAUCUUGUUAGCCCCCGUCGUGCUGGGGAUAGAGCAUUGCAAUUAUUGCUCUUCAACGAAGAAUCCCUAGCCCCCCCCAUGGUCACCAGCUUGCGUUGAUUACGUCCCUGCCCUCCCUUAUCGGCGCCCGUC
rnacentral:rRNA from 1 species